rnacentral:rRNA from 1 species
AUUGAACGCUGGCGGCAGGCUUAACACAUGCAAGUCGAACGAGGGGCGGACGGGUGAGUAAUGUCUGGGAAACUGACUGAUGGAGGGGGAUAACUACUGGAAACGGUAGCUAAUACCGCAUACCCUCGGAUGUGCCCAGAUGGGAUUAGCUAGUAGGUGGGGUAAAGGCUCACCUAGGCGACGAUCCCUAGCUGUUCUGAGAGGUUGACCAGCCACACUGGAACUGAGACACGGUCCAGACUCCUACGGGAGGCAGCAGUGGAGAAUAUUGCACAAUGGGCGCAAGCCUGAUGCAGCCAUGCCGCGUGUAGGAAGAAGGCCUUCGGGUUGUAAAGUACUUUCAGCGAGGAUGCGUUACUCGCAGAAGAAGCACCGGCUAACUCCGUGCCAGCAGCCGCGGUAAUAC